GACGAACGCUGGCGGCGUGCUUAACACAUGCAAGUCGAACGGAAAGGCCCUGCUUGCAGGGUACUCGAGUGGCGAACGGGUGAGUAACACGUGGGUGAUCUGCCCUGCACUUCGGGAUAAGCCUGGGAAACUGGGUCUAAUCCCGGAUAGGAGCCAUUUUCAGUGUGAUGGUUGGAAAGUUUUUUCGGUGUAGGAUGAGCUCGCGGCCUAUCAGCUUGUUGGUGGGGUAAUGGCCUACCGAGGCGGCGACGGGUAGCCGGCCUGAGAGGGUGGACGGCCACAAGGGGACUGAGAGACGGCGCAGUGGGCUACGGUGGACAGCAGGGGGGAAUAUUGCGCAAUGAGCGCAAGCGUGAUGCGGCGACGCCGCGUGGGGGAUGACGGCCUUCGGGUUGUAAACUGCUUUCGCUAGGGACGAAGCUUUUGUGACGGUACCCAGAUAAGAAGCACCGGCUAACUACGUG
rnacentral:rRNA from 1 species